ACUACUCCCAUUACCAAUACCACCUAAUUGAAAGGUUGAAACAACCGAAAAAAACCUAAACAUGUCGUCUCUCCUUUCCCGUGGAAGAAAAAGCCUAAACCUAAACUUCAAUGUUUCAUCUUCUACUCCAUUGCUCCAACCUUGUUAUCAAUUGUUCACUUUUCAAACCUAAAUCGUGGUAGCCCUAUAUACCCUUAAAAUCAAAUCAAAAUUGAACUGUAUGUUCUCAGUUUCCUCCAACUACAACCUCGAGAUUUGGGAUUUCGAAAUUGAUGGAGUUGAUCUUAUACGACAGAAGAAUAAAAGGAUAAUAUGAGAAAGUGGUGGUGGUGGUAGUUCUUCUUGAACUUCAUCAGGAAAAGGUGAAGAUCCUAAAGAUUGACGGGAUGAGUUUUCUAGACGGAUUACUGGUAUGGGUUUUUCAUUUAUGUUAUUUGCUAUACCAUCAUCUACUGUAUAGAUUUAUAGGUUGUUGUUAUUGUUUAUGCAAUUUGAAUGAGUUCUUGUGUGUUUUGUAAUUUCGUUUUUGGUUUUAUAUUGAUAGAACAUAUACACAGUUGUAAAAUUUAAGAAUUGUCUCUUUAUCUAACAGUCCUGUGUAACCACAUUAGAAUCUACCGGAGAACACUUUUUUUGUUUUUUUGAAGCAACCAGAGAACAUUUGGAAAUAAUCAAUCGAGUAAAUUUUUCCUUCCCAAAAGGGUAAGAAAAGAUGAAAGAGAAACAGUGGUACCUUCCAAGCCAAUAUGAAGAAACGGCGUGGACAAGCUUUGGGCACCAGAAAGCUAUGUACAGUGACACCUGCUUUGUGCAAAGGUAUAGCUCUGAAGGGUGGGAAAGGUAACUUGUUAUUGGAUAAAUAUGGAGUCUUUAUUGAAUCUUGCUUUCCAUUAUCUCUCUAGCAGCUCCAAAAGAUGACUGAUGAUUCAGAAUAAAUACAACUUCAUUGCUAAUUAAAGUAUUUUGUAGCUCGUAUGAUGUUCGAUCUAUGUUUUUUCUUUUGGUUUGUACUUAAUUUGUCUAGGAUAUGUUGUAUAUUAUGUUUCAUAUCGUGUCUGCAGUUAUGGUUUUGUUCAUCUUGCUGGUCAGACUCAUUAAACACAAAAUCAAGUAGAUGCUCAAAGGGAACUCGUUGGUAAGAAGAUCAGGGUUUGGUUGCCUAGUUUAUCAAGCAUAUGAAAAAAAAUUGUAGUUCUGAGUUUAGUACUAAUUGUAUUAGAUAUAUUCAUGAUGAUUCUUGAGUGCAGACGUCUUACAGAUUGCCGCUGGUGCUGAAAUAUGUGGAUUUCUUUCUUGCUGAAGUUUAUAUUGGCCUGCUAAAAAUGCGAAGUGAAGUUGUUAUCCACUUUUCCCUCUUAUACAACACGAGGAAUUUAGGAUACUCGAUCCAAUCCACUAUUCAAGGUUAAAGCGGAAUGUGAAGAUGUCUAUGAGAAUCUCUUAGAGUUCUAGAGAAACCAAUUCAAUCUUGAUAUGAUUACAUUCGCCUCUGAAAUUGUUUGUUUCUAGUUUCAGUAUCUCGCCCGUGUCGGUCAUGUUUCGUAUUUUGUUUCAAUAUCUUAACUGGCGAUUAUAUUAUUCGACUCAGUAACUUAUCUGGUUUUGAUUCUUCUUGGUA